AUUGAAAUACCCGUUCCCGUACAAUCACCGAAGUUAAGCAACGUUGAGACUGAUCAUUACCUAGAUGGGAAACCGUUUGGGAAUACCAGGUACUGUAG